CCACCUUUGCGGACGCUCUUCUGAGUGCUUACGUUGUGGCAUGCCUGACACCUAGUUGGUCUGCCCCUCACAGGAGCACAUCUCCGCGGGCCUAAAGUGCUGCCCAGCAAUAUCAGCCCCCCCCCCUUUGGUGCGCCACACACACCGCAGAGAGUGGUGAGACGCAUAUAACUUCAUAAAAACGCUCACCUCCCGGGCAGAGAUUUCUCUCUCCUCUUGUCUCUUAGUGACUGCGACAGCCGCGCGGAUGCAGCAUCGCUGUCCCCCCCCCUCUCGAUAUCGACUGCUCAAGCUCUACACUGCCACUCUGCAGGCUUCGUCCCCCAUUCUCGUCCCUGCAUCUCUCGGGCAAUGAUGAACUUGGCACCGGAUACCAUCACGAUAGAGGCGCAGCGCAACACGGAGCUGCUGCUGCUCGAGCAGCUGCGCAGCACGAACCCUCACAUCUAUGCCCUGUGGCAGCGUCACCCGGACAAAGACAACGACGCUUCCUCUUCAUCCGCCGCGUCGUCGUCGUCGAAGGACACUCGUGGCGCCGGCGGUAGCGAUGGCAGAGGCGCCAACGCCUCCUCCGCCUCAGCAGCGUCGACAUUGACGGAGCCGUUUGACUACACGGAGCCGCGCUUCUACCGUGCCGCACACGUCCAUUUUCUCAUGGAAAACCUCAGCGUGACGCCACAGGGCUUCUCCAGUCUCUACCCGUCGAGACCGUGGAUCGUAUACUGGGCCUUGCAAGCUGCCGACGUGCUGAGUGCCAUGGAGAGCGAAGUGCUGCACCGUACCCCGCCGAGCGCCAUCGUGGCGUUCCUGCACAGCUGCCUCAGCGUCGACCACACAUGCCAAGCGGAGGUAAAUAACCGGCUCGCGGCUGCCGCCACGUCUGCCCGUGGAGCCCAGGAAGUGAACGACCCCCACGUCACCGGGACACUUCUGUGGAGCAGCACAACAUCCGUGACACUCUCGAGAGACAGCGCUGACGCGACGAGUGCCACCCGGAUGCCGCCAGUGGAGGACGCCGCAGAGGUGGCUGAACGUUCCUCACGGCCGGUGAUGGGUUUUGCAGGAGGGGCUACGCACCAAGAGCCGCACAUCGCCUCCUCCUACGCAGCCUGCUGCGCUCUCGCGAUGCUGAGCUGGUAUGACGACGGGGCACCGCUGCGGCAACUCCCGCGUGCCGCCAUCAAGCGGUGGCUCCUCACACUGCGAAACGAGGACGGUAGCUUUCGCGUGCAUGGCGGAGGCGAGUCGGAUAUUCGCGCCUCGUACUGUGCCGCCGUCAUAACAACUCUCCUCGGGCUCGAUGAUCCGACAACCUUUGACGGCGAGGCCGGCCGCCGCGAGUUUGUGGACGACGUGCGCGACGUUCCGGUGCUAACGCUGCAGACGGCGCGCUUCGUCGCCGCGUGUCAGACCCACGAAGGCGGCUUCACAUGCUCUCCUACCGCGUCGGAGGCGCACGGGGCAUACACCCAGUGCGGGCUGGCCGCCCUACUGCUCAUGAAGCAGCCGCACAUGGUGCAUCAGGCGUCAUUGCGUCGCUGGCUGGCCGCGCGCCAACUAAACUAUGAGGGCGGCUUCAACGGUCGCACAAACAAGCUGGUCGACUCUUGCUACUCGCAUUGGAUCGGCGCAUCGCACGUGCUGCUGCGCACGGUCGAGGCAUACACAAAAUGCUUCACAGAAGUGCCUACCACACAUUCGCGCAACGGAGACGGUGCAGGAACUAGCGAAGAUGGUGAUAGGGAGGAUGUAGAUUCCGCCUCGUCCGCUCGUUGUCUUCGGGCCCGGGAGGUGGUGCUGCUGGACCAUGCGCAGCUACUCGACGCAAAAAUGAUUCACGCUAGCGCCGAUGACGCCUGGGACCGUGCCGAGAGUGAGCAUCUUACGCGACUGGGUGUAGUGGAUCAGUUUCUCGGCGCCGAUGAUGCGGUGCUGCGGUCGGCGGAAGGAAAAAGAGCCGCCGUCACAGCCUUGUACGAGCGCCUACUGGAGAGCCAGCUCGCUGCGGUGCGCGGCUGCGACGGCAACGGUGGCGCAGCUGCGGGAGACGUGCAGGGCAGCCUGGAGGCAUGGCGAGCGCGCCAAGCGUUCCUCUACGCCGAUGUCGGCGACUUCUACUUUAACCAGCGCAAAUUGCAGGACUACGUCCUGCGCUGCUGCCAGGAUCCCGAGAUUGGCGGCUUGAUGGACAAGCCUCAAACAGCGCACGACGGGUACCACACCUGCUACUCGCUCUCGGGGCUGAGUGCAGCGCAGAACUUGCAGUACCGGACUCAUGCCACCGCCGCCGAUGCCGCCUACCCGUCCACCUACCUUGAACGCGCCUUUGCCCGCUCGUACCUCCCAGGGCGCGAGAGUGGCAGCACAAGCGGCAACGAAGAAGGCAGCUGUGGCGUAGUGUUGGGCUUACCAAACACUUCCGCGGCUGCGGAGUCGAUGCUUCUUCGAACGACCAGCCCGAUCUUUAACAUACAUCAAUCGCGCGUGCUCUCUGCCCUGCGUGCAUGGAGCGUGAAAACUUUCGUGUAAAGGGCUGGAGAGACAGCGACCGAUGUUGCGUUGCGAUGCAUGUGGACACGUGCGC
rnacentral:misc_RNA from 1 species